GGAGGGUGCAAGCGUUAAUCGGACUUACUGGGCGUAAAGGGCACGUAGGCGGUAGAUUAAGUUGUAUGUGAAAGACCUGGGCUCAACCUAGGAAUGGCAUAUAGUACUGGUUUACUAGAGUGAAGUAGAGGAUAGCGGAAUUUCCGGUGUAGCGGUGAAAUGCGUAGAUAUCGGAAAGAACACCAGAGGCGAAGGCGGCUAUCUGGGCUUUUACUGACGCUGAGGUGCGAAAGCGUGGGUAUCGAACAGGGAUUAGAUACCCUGGUAGUCCACGCUGUAAACGAUGAGGACUAGCUGUUGGGAAACCAUGAGUUUUUCAGUAGCGUAGCUAACGCGAGAAGUUCUCCGCCUGGGGAUUACGGCCGCAAGGCUA
rnacentral:rRNA from 1 species